UAGCGUAUAUUAAAGUUGUUGCAGUUAAAACGCUCGUAGUCGGAUUUCGGGGCGUGCGAGCCGGUCUGCCGAUGGGUAUGCACUGGUUGUGCGCGUCCUUUCUUUCGGAGCUCUCUGCUGCUCUUAGCUGAGCGGUGGAGGGAGACGGAUCGUUUACUUUGAAAAAAUCAGAGUGUUUCAAGCAGGCAGCUCGCUCUUGCAUGGAUUAGCAUGGGAUAAUGAAAUAGGACUCUGGUGCUAUUUUGUUGGUUUCGAACACCGGAGUAAUGAUCAACAGGGACAGUCAGGGGCACUCGUAUUCCGCCGAGAGAGGUGAAAUUCUCAGACCAGCGGAAGACGAACCACUGCGAAAGCAUUUG
rnacentral:rRNA from 1 species